AAAAUAAAAGCAAGCCAACAUGAUAAUCAUUAGAUGCCCAGAUGACAUUUUUUUUCAAUAAAUGACCGAGCAACAGGGAACAAGUUCUAUCACUUUGAAUUCAGUUUAACACACAGAUUUCUUUAGAAAAAUUCUACCAAGCCCAUAAACUCAUCAGUAGCAAAGGUCAAGAAGUCCAUUUAAAUGCACCCACAUAUAUUUGUAAC